GAAAGAGGCUUCAAGUUUCAAGUUCCGACAGACACUUGAGAUAAAGCGUGGAUUUGAUUGACCAUAGGGCUUAGACAACGCACCUCGGGUCGGGUUCUGAUCUAACGUUCACUUCUUUCAACACAACGACUUUUUUCGUCAGUCAUCAU
ensembl:ncRNA F08C6.11 ncRNA